UACGUAGGGUGCAAGCGUUAAUCGGAAUUACUGGGCGUAAAGCGUGCGCAGGCGGUUGUGCAAGACAGAUGUGAAAUCCCCGGGCUCAACCUGGGAACUGCAUUUGUGACUGCACGGCUGGAGUGUGGCAGAGGGGGAUGGAAUUCCGCGUGUAGCAGUGAAAUGCGUAGAUAUGCGGAGGAACACCGAUGGCGAAGGCAAUCCCCUGGGCCUGCACUGACGCUCAUGCACGAAAGCGUGGGGAGCAAACAGG
rnacentral:rRNA from 1 species